ensembl:lncRNA
GGCUGGAUUAUGGACUGGGCCUGGGCCUCCAAAACUGCUAAAGGAAGUUGAAGAGCAGUACCUUCAGUGCAUAAAGCAUGAGCGUAGCCUGGUCAGGCCUCUAGUCGUGCAUCUGCUGCUUUCCUCCUUUAUUCAUUUGUGUUAUGAACUGCCUGGAGUCACAUGAAAGCAGGACAGAACCAGGGGUCCUCGAGACUUGGAUUCGAUUCAAGACCAAUUCAUGCAUUACUCACCAUUCUGGAUUCUCAGAACAGAGGUCUUCUUACGGUCCUUAUGAAUUCAUCAGGGACCGAAUCUCCGAUUUCUAGUAGGAGCAGUCAGUGAAGUUUGGACGGGUAAAGGUCUUAUUACCUUAGAGACCAGGAUGGAUUUAAGUUUUGACAGAUAACACUUCCCACAACAUAGGUGUGGGCCUCAGCCUGUUAACUAGAGCGCAGGACCCUGGACACUCAAAACUGUCAUGUUUGGAUCAAGCAGUGGCAAACAAUCGCCAGUUUUCAAUCGGUGUCUCAAGCAGUGGAGAAGAUGGAGACUGACCUGAGGCUUGAUCCCUUCAUCUCACAUCAUGACCUGAACACCGCCCCACAGAGAGACCAAUCCUGGACGUCUGCGCUUAAAGAGGCCUUUGGUGAUGCACAGCUGAUCUAAUGGUACCGGCUCCUAGAAAUCCUGUGAUUUCUGCAACUCUCCUGGACUGACCACGUUAACAUCUGCAUGAUUGAGGUGAUGAUCUAAUGAUCUAGUACCUUCUAUUCACUGUCUGUGCAUAUGCAUAUACAGUAGCAUGCAAAACAGGCUAAAAAACAAAUUUCCAGUUCCGAUCUGGAAACACUCUUAAAACAAAAUAAAUGUACAUGAGACAUAAAAUCGUAUAAUAAU